UNUUACCAGAAAGGGACGGCUAANUACGUGCCAGCAGCCGCGGUAAUACGUAGNUCCCGAGCGUUGUCCGGAUUUAUUGGGCGUAAAGCGAGCGCAGGCGGUUAGAUAAGUNUGAAGUUAAAGGCUGUGGCUUAACCAUAGUACGCUUUGGAAACUGUUUAACUUGAGUGCAGAAGGGGAGAGUGGAAUUCCAUGUGUAGCGGUGAAAUGCGUAGAUAUAUGGAGGAACACCGGUGGCGAAAGCGGCUCUCUGGUCUGUAACUGACGCUGAGGCUCGAAAGCGUGGGGAGCGAACAGGAUUAGAUACCCUGGUAGUCCACGCCGUAAACGAUGAGUGCUAGGUGUUAGGCCCUUUCCGGGGCUUAGUGCCGCAGCUAACGCAUUAAGCACUCCGCCUGGGGAGUACGACCGCAAGGUUGAAACUCAAAGGAAUUGACGGGGGCCCGCACAAGCGGUGGAGCAUGUGGUUUAAUUCGAAGCAACGCGAAGAACCUUACCAGGUCUUGACAUCCCGAUGCCCGCUCUAGAGAUAGAGUUUUACUUCGGUACAUCGGUGACAGGUGGUGCAUGGUUGUCGUCAGCUCGUGUCGUGAGAUGUUGGGUUAAGUCCCGCAACGAGCGCAACCCUUAUUGUUAGUUGCCAUCAUUCAGUUGGGCACUCUAGCGAGACUGCCGGUAAUAAACCGGAGGAAGGUGGGGAUGACGUCAAAUCAUCAUGCCCCUUAUGACCUGGGCUACACACGUGCUACAGUGGCUGGUACAACGAGUCGCAAGUCGGUGACGGCAAGCUAAUCUCUUAAAGCCAGUCUCAGUUCGGAUUGUAGGCUGCAACUCGCCUACAUGAAGUCGGAAUCGCUAGUAAUCGCGGAUCAGCACGCCGCGGUGAAUACGUUCCCGGGCCUUGUACACACCGCCCGUCACACCACGAGAGUUUGUAACACCCGAAGUCGGUGAGGUAACCUUU
rnacentral:rRNA from 1 species